rnacentral:rRNA from 1 species
UGGGGAAUAUUGGACAAUGGGCGCAAGCCUGAUCCAGCAAUGCCGCGUGUGUGAAGAAGGUCUUCGGAUUGUAAAGCACUUUCGGCGGGGACGAUGAUGACGGUACCCGCAGAAGAAGCCCCGGCUAACUUCGUGCCAGCAGCCGCGGUAAUACGAAGGGGGCUAGCGUUGCUCGGAAUUACUGGGCGUAAAGGGCGCGUAGGCGGUUCUAUAAGUCAGGCGUGAAAUUCCUGGGCUUAACCUGGGGGCUGCGCUUGAGACUGUGGAACUCGAGGUCAGAAGAGGGUCGUGGAAUUCCCAGUGUAGAGGUGAAAUUCGUAGAUAUUGGGAAGAACACCGGUGGCGAAGGCGGCGACCUGGUCUGAUACUGACGCUGAGGCGCGACAGCGUGGGGAGCAAACA